rnacentral:tmRNA from 1 species
ACCGGGGGCGGUACCCGGCGCCUCCACCAAAAUAUAAUUUGUUUUUUUAUAUUUUAGUGGGGGCGAAACAGGAUCGACAAAAGUGUAAAGAUUGCUCUUUUACUCGGUAUAGUACCACCGUUAUCGGACUAAAUGAGUAGUUGCAAAUGACAACUAUGCGGAAGCACGUCUCGCUGCCUGAGGUGGUGUGAAUGCUUCAAACUAAGUCUUAAACCGUCGCAGGUUUAAGGGGGGUUCGAAGGCACCUGGAAAACAGAAGCCCA